rnacentral:misc_RNA from 1 species
CACACCCAAAAGCUGCAUUAACAAAAUGUGUUUGGAUACCGUAAUAUCAGUGUAUACAAAGUUCGGAAAUAUAAAAAAUUGUGAGUUGAGAAGCGUUGCGUAUGGUUUAUAACAAAAUAUCCUUAAUAUAGACUUAAUAUAGACUCUGUUAAGUAAAAGUAGCAAUAAACGGAAGGUUAGGACGUGAAGGAGUUGAGUUUAGUUUAGUGAAUGGCAAGUUUCAAGAACCCGUCAAGAGAUGAGAUUUCAUCGGCCAGCCUCAUUACAGAGCUAAUUCCUAUACAUACUGGUAAAAAAAAUAGUGCUUGGGGUUCGGAAUCAUGGUGUUGUGCUUUUUCUCCUGAUGAAUCAUAUUUUGCAUGGUCUUCAGGCAAUUGUGUUGUUACUCUCAUUCCUUGGAAUUUUUGCAAAUCUACUCUAUUCAAGUACCAAGAAAUAACCGUUCCUUUCAAACCAGGUGUUGGGAUUAUUGUUGACAGCAAACAUGAAGUUGAAGACUGCUUUGGUUGCAACACUAUCUCGAUACACACGGGACAUCUCAUUCGUUCAUUAGCAUUUGGGUUAUCUACCUAUGGUUAUGGCCUACGUUCCUCUCCACCAUUCUGGUCUCGUCUCAGUUCUUCCAAAGAUUUGGUACUUGCUACAGGUCAUGUGAAUGGGCGUAUCAGAACAUGGGAUGUCUUGACAGGUAAAUUAAUUCUGGAACUUAUGGACCAUAAUGAUAUGGUAUCUCAUUUGAACUUCAGUCCUAUUGGUAAUCUAGUCCUUGUAUCAGCAUCUUACGAUGGUACCUUAAAAGUAUGGGAUCUACAUGAAGAUGGAAAUAUGUUUCAAACUCUUAAAAUGAACAACAAGCCCAUUUAUUCAUGCUGUUGGUCUCCUGAUGCUAAAACAUUAUUAUCAGUUGGAAUGUGUAAAUUAGUGUAUGUGUGGGAUAUGAAGACAUUAAAAGUGAGAGCCAAACUUCAAGGACAUCAUCAUGACGUUGUAGCCUGUGCCUUUUCUCCUGAUAGUUGCCUUAUUGCCUCAGCAUCGUGGGACACACGUGUCAUUUUAUGGGAUUCUCACUCUGGUCAAAUGCUCAAAUAUUUUGGUCACCUUCAUCCUUCACCUCAUCUCAUCUUUGCAUGUGGAGAUAAUGGAACAUGGAUUAGAGAUGUUUCUUUUUCAUCUGAUGGAGCUCAUAUUGCUACCAUUGCUGAUGAUGGGUACUUAAGGUUUUGGGACAUAGCUUCCGAAGAAAAUCCUGAAGCUGUUGCUGUAAUUGAAAAUUCAUUAUGCUGUAGUUAUGCUCCAUCUGGUCGCAUUCUUGCCGUAGGUGGAUGAAAGACGGCAAUCCCAAGAGCCGUAGGCCGACACUAACUACGCUUCAGCCGCCAAGGUGCUGAAGCCAAGUGGCAUUUCGGUUCCUCGUUUCGUGAAAUUGGGUGUUUAACCUGCAUUGGAUUGUCGCAGUUACGCUCAGUGCUGUCGCACUUUAUUGUUCACAAAGCAAACACGGACCUGUCACAUUUUGGAAUGCUCCACUGUGCAUCAAAUCUCUUCUUUAUUUAACACGGAUUGCAAUUCGAAGAUUAGUACCUCCUGAAGAAUUAGGGAAUCUGGGCAUUCCAAAGCAUCUA